GAAAUCAACCGAGAUUCCCCCAGUAGCGGCGAGCGAACGGGGAGCAGCCCAGAGCCUGAAUCAGUGUGUGUGUUAGUGGAAGCGUCUGGAAAGGCGUGCGAUACAGGGUGACAGCCCCGUACACAAAAAUGCACAUACUGUGAGCUCGAUGAGUAGGGCGGGACACGUGGUAUCCUGUCUGAAUAUGGGGGGACCAUCCUCCAAGGCUAAAUACUCCUGACUGACCGAUAGUGAACCAGUACCGUGAGGGAAAGGCGAAAAGAACCCCGGCGAGGGGAGUGAAAAAGAACCUGAAACCGUGUACGUACAAGCAGUGGGAGCACGCUUAGGCGUGUGACUGCGUACCUUUUGUAUAAUGGGUCAGCGACUUAUAUUCUGUAGCAAGGUUAACCGAAUAGGGGAGCCGAAGGGAAACCGAGUCUUAACUGGGCGUUAAGUUGCAGGGUAUAGACCCGAAACCCGGUGAUCUAGCCAUGGGCAGGUUGAAGGUUGGGUAACACUAACUGGAGGACCGAACCGACUAAUGUUGAAAAAUUAGCGGAUGACUUGUGGCUGGGGGUGAAAGGCCAAUCAAACCGGGAGAUAGCUGGUUCUCCCCGAAAGCUAUUUAGGUAGCGCCUCGUGAAUUCAUCUCCGGGGGUAGAGCACUGUUUCGGCAAGGGGGUCAUCCCGACUUACCAACCCGAUGCAAACUGCGAAUACCGGAGAAUGUUAUCACGGGAGACACACGGCGGGUGCUAACGUCCGUCGUGAAGAGGGAAACAACCCAGACCGCCAGCUAAGGUCCCAAAGUCAUGGUUAAGUGGGAAACGAUGUGGGAAGGCCCAGACAGCCAGGAUGUUGGCUUAGAAGCAGCCAUCAUUUAAAGAAAGCGUAAUAGCUCACUGGUCGAGUCGGCCUGCGCGGAAGAUGUAACGGGGCUAAACCAUGCACCGAAGCUGCGGCAGCGACGCUUAUGCGUUGUUGGGUAGGGGAGCGUUCUGUAAGCCUGUGAAGGUGUGCUGUGAGGUAUGCUGGAGGUAUCAGAAGUGCGAAUGCUGACAUAAGUAACGAUAAAGCGGGUGAAAAGCCCGCUCGCCGGAAGACCAAGGGUUCCUGUCCAACGUUAAUCGGGGCAGGGUGAGUCGACCCCUAAGGCGAGGCCGAAAGGCGUAGUCGAUGGGAAACAGGUUAAUAUUCCUGUACUUGGUGUUACUGCGAAGGGGGGACGGAGAAGGCUAUGUUGGCCGGGCGACGGUUGUCCCGGUUUAAGCGUGUAGGCUGGUUUUCCAGGCAAAUCCGGAAAAUCAAGGCCGAGGCGUGAUGACGAGGCACUACGGUGCUGAAGCAACAAAUGCCCUGCUUCCAGGAAAAGCCUCUAAGCAUCAGGUAACAUCAAAUCGUACCCCAAACCGACACAGGUGGUCAGGUAGAGAAUACCAAGGCGCUUGAGAGAACUCGGGUGAAGGAACUAGGCAAAAUGGUGCCGUAACUUCGGGAGAAGGCACGCUGAUACGUAGGUGAAGCGACUUGCUCGUGGAGCUGAAAUCAGUCGAAGAUACCAGCUGGCUGCAACUGUUUAUUAAAAACACAGCACUGUGCAAACACGAAAGUGGACGUAUACGGUGUGACGCCUGCCCGGUGCCGGAAGGUUAAUUGAUGGGGUUAGCGCAAGCGAAGCUCUUGAUCGAAGCCCCGGUAAACGGCGGCCGUAACUAUAACGGUCCUAAGGUAGCGAAAUUCCUUGUCGGGUAAGUUCCGACCUGCACGAAUGGCGUAAUGAUGGCCAGGCUGUCUCCACCCGAGACUCAGUGAAAUUGAACUCGCUGUGAAGAUGCAGUGUACCCGCGGCAAGACGGAAAGACCCCGUGAACCUUUACUAUAGCUUGACACUGAACAUUGAGCCUUGAUGUGUAGGAUAGGUGGGAGGCUUUGAAGUGUGGACGCCAGUCUGCAUGGAGCCGACCUUGAAAUACCACCCUUUAAUGUUUGAUGUUCUAACGUGGACCCGUGAUCCGGGUUGCGGACAGUGUCUGGUGGGUAGUUUGACUGGGGCGGUCUCCUCCUAAAGAGUAACGGAGGAGCACGAAGGUUGGCUAAUCCUGGUCGGACAUCAGGAGGUUAGUGCAAUGGCAUAAGCCAGCUUGACUGCGAGCGUGACGGCGCGAGCAGGUGCGAAAGCAGGUCAUAGUGAUCCGGUGGUUCUGAAUGGAAGGGCCAUCGCUCAACGGAUAAAAGGUACUCCGGGGAUAACAGGCUGAUACCGCCCAAGAGUUCAUAUCGACGGCGGUGUUUGGCACCUCGAUGUCGGCUCAUCACAUCCUGGGGCUGAAGUAGGUCCCAAGGGUAUGGCUGUUCGCCAUUUAAAGUGGUACGCGAGCUGGGUUUAGAACGUCGUGAGACAGUUCGGUCCCUAUCUGCCGUGGGCGCUGGAGAACUGAGGGGGGCUGCUCCUAGUACGAGAGGACCGGAGUGGACGCAUCACUGGUGUUCGGGUUGUCAUGCCAAUGGCACUGCCCGGUAGCUAAAUGCGGAAGAGAUAAGUGCUGAAAGCAUCUAAGCACGAAACUUGCCCCGAGAUGAGUUCUCCCUGACCCUUUAAGGGUCCUGAAGGAACGUUGAAGACGACGACGUUGAUAGGCCGGGUGUGUAAGCGCAGCGAUGCGUUGAGCUAACCGGUACUAAUGAACCGUGAGGCUUAACCUU
rnacentral:rRNA from 2 species